ACAGCCAUACCACAUUGAAAACACCGGUUCUCGUCUGAUCACCGAAGUUAAGCAAUGUUGGGCCUGGUCAGUACUUGGGAGGGUGACCACCUGGGAACACCGGGUGCUGUAGGCU
rnacentral:rRNA from 1 species